GAUAAACGCUGGCGGCGUGCAUGAGACAUGCAAGUCGAACGAAGGGUCGGGCUUGCUCGAUCCUUAGUGGCGGACGGCUGAGUAACGCGUAGGUGACCUACCCCGAAGUGGGGAAUAACUGCCCGAAAGGGUGGCUAAUACCGCAUGUGGUCGCACGUUCAUUCGUGCGAGUAAAGCCGCAAGGCGCUUCGGGAGGGGCCUGCGGCCGAUUAGCUCGUUGGUGGGGUAAUGGCUUACCAAGGCGACGAUCGGUAGGUGGUCUGAGAGGACGAUCACCCAGACUGGGACUGAGACACGGCCCAGACUCCUACGGGAGGCAGCAGUCGGGAAUUUUGCUCAAUGGGGGAAACCCUGAAGCAGCAACGCCGCGUGAGGGAUGAAGGCCUUCGGGUUGUAAACCUCUUUUGUCAGGGACGAUGAUGACGGUACCUGGCGAAUAAGCCACGGCUAACUACGUGCCAGCCGCCGCCGUAA
rnacentral:rRNA from 1 species